UCUUAUAGGACCUAGAGGCGGCGUUAAA
rnacentral:sRNA from 1 species